ensembl:rRNA 5S_rRNA 5S ribosomal RNA
GCUUACGGCCAUACCACCCUGAGCACGCCCGAUCUCGUCUGAUCUCGGAAGCUAAGCAGUGUCGGGCCUGGUUAGUACUUGGAUGGGAGACCGCCUGGGAAUACCAGGUGCUGUAAGCU